UACGUAGGGUGCAAGCGUUGUCCGGAAUUAUUGGGCGUAAAGAGCUCGUAGGCGGUUUGUCGCGUCGGCUGUGAAAACUCGGGGCUCAACCCCGAGCCUGCAGUCGAUACGGGCAGACUAGAGUGCUGUAGGGGAGACUGGAAUUCCUGGUGGUAGCGUGAAAUGCGCAGAUAUCAGGAGGAACACCGGUGGCGAAGGCGGGUCUCCUGGGCCG
rnacentral:rRNA from 1 species